rnacentral:rRNA from 1 species
AUGUCAACCUCGGCCGACAAGGGUGACGAGCUUGCUGCUGAUUCUGAGGAAAUAGUGCGUCCAGUGUAUGCGGAUGAUAUCCCUCAAAAUAUUCGGGAUGGUUUUGACCACACAUGCAACUACAUCAAGCAAUGUCAUGACGCGCUCGGCAAAAGGAUAGAUGUCCUGAUCACUCGGUUCGAUGGUUUGGCAGACAUCAUCAAUAUGCCGGCAGCGACUUCUGCACCACCACAGACUGCUCCGGCUGCUCCACUGUAUUAUGCACCACCAGCUCGCGACGGAUAUGCUGGCGUGCAUGAUCGUUGUCUGGCGGCACAUCCUCAUGCUGGAGAUGAUGGUUUAGGUGAUGGCAUUGACCACGCGGGGUACGCGCCACGACCACGACACUAUGAGCCUCGUCUCGAAACAUCCAUUCGUGGUGGAGUGCAUGACCGAGUUGGUCAAGCUGUGCGUGUGCCUUUGGAUGAUGGAAUUGGGCGCAUAAAAAUUUCAAUCCCUUCGUUCUCCGGCAAGUGUGAACCAGAAGGCUAUUUGGAGUGGGAGAUGCGUGUUGAUCAAAUUUUUGAUGCCCAUCAUUAUAGCGAGGAGAAGAAAGUUCAACUUGCUGGAAUUGAGUUUACCGGUUACGCGCUAAUUUGGUGGAAUCAAAUUUGUCGUUCAAGACAUCGCCCGACGACUUGGCGAGGUAUGAAAGAAUUCAUGAGGCGCCGUUUUGUUCCUGAGCACUAUAAAAGAGAUAUGUACAACAAGUUGCAGCGGCUCUCUCAAGGUAAUUUGAGUGUUGAUGAAUAUUAUAAGGAGAUGGAAUUGCUUAUGAUACGUACAGGGACAACGGAGGAUCCGGAGGCGACCAUGUCACGUUUCUUUAACGGGCUAAAUAUCGAGGUGCAGGAACGUGUUGAGAUGGUGGUCUACUACAACAUACAAGAUCUUGUGCAUCAAGCUGUGCGUGCGAAACAACAGAUUAAGCGGUGCCAAGUCAACACAGUUCCCAGUACCACUUUGAACACAUGGCGACGCUCCCAGCAUCAGAGUGAGGAUAUCGGUCCUAGCUCGAGGACGGCAACAUCAAAUCGCCCUCAUGGUUCCGUGCAAAAGAAUGCUUCAAAAUCAGGACCGUCGACGGUUGAUUCUAGUGCACAGUCGACCAAUCGUUCCAGUGACAUAGAGUGUUUCAAGUGUGGAGGAAUGGGACAUAUGAAGCGUGAAUGUCCUAAUGAGAAGAGAGUAUUGCUCACAAAAGAUGGCUAUGCAUCCGCGAGUGAUGAAGAGGCAGUUUUUGACACUUCUAGUGAAAAAUUUGAAGAUGCUGAGAAGGUGACUGCUAGUUUUGAAGCUGCUGAAUCAUAUCCGUCCUUAAUGGUGCAGCGUGUGCAAGAGGAUCGCAUUGAGGAUAAGGGGCAGCGUUGGAAUAUUUUUCAGACUCAGUGCAAGAUCAACAACACCAAUUGCAAGUUGAUCAUCGACGGUGGAAGCUACACUAAUGCAGUCAGCAAGGACUUGGUGGAUGCUUUUGCUUUACCAACCUGGAAGCACCCACAACCACACUGUGUCGAAUGGUUAUAUCAGUCGGGCAAACUGAAACUUACUCACAAGGUGCGCAUCAAUUUUUCGGUUGGCAAUUAUAUCGAUACAAUUAUCUGUGAUGUUCUACCAAUGGAUGCAUGCCAUUUGUUGUUGGGGAGGCCAUGGCAAUAUGAUCAUCGAGCUACACAUGAUGAGAGGUCCAACACUUAUUCCUUUUGGGACUCUGGAAGGCGACAUAUGUUACAGCCGAUGUUCUCUAGUGCAAUCAAGAACGAUGUCUGUAAGAUCCCUAAAGGUAUCUUGAAGCCAAGGAUGGCUUCAUUUCAAGAGGGGCAGGAUGAUGUGACCAUCUAUGCCAAGACUACUGUCACUCGUCCAAGAAAUAUUAAAGUUACACCGAUGCGUGAGAAGUUGACCGUGACAGGUUAG